rnacentral:lncRNA from 1 species
AUGACUUUUUUGGGAGAUGGUGAUUUGCCAGUAAUGGCUUUCUUCACCUUGGCAAUUGAAUGCUUGACUUUUGAUCCAACGCCUGAAAGUAUGUUGUGAGAUUUCUUAUGAGCUACUUUGAUGUCUGCAUCUCCAAUAUCCACCAUGACUGGUGCUUCAGAAGAUAAGUCUGAUUUUGUGUGUUCAUGUGAUUCCUCUUCAUCCUCGUCAUUGUUCUCUUGAGUUGCCUUUUUUUCAUCAUCUGCCAAUGAAGAUUCAGGCUUCCCUUCGAUUUUCUUAUUUCCGCAUUCCUCUUCUUCUUCCUCAACUUUAGAAGCUUUCACUACUUGAUUGUCGCCAUCUAGGUUCUCAGGAAUCAAAUUCCUGGUAUCAUGCAGGACAUGCUUAUCUUUCAAGGAAGGCGCUGCCUCAUUUUCUGAUGUUUUGACUUUUUUGUCAUCUUGAGCUGUAUCCUCAACACAACUUUGAUGAAUGCUUGAUUCUGUAGCUGCACCAUCGACACUUUCUAACUGACUGGGGAUAUGUUUGUCUUCUUCAUGGAUGUCCCCACUAUCCCUUCCCACUUUCUGUUCUUCUGUUUCUUGCUCUGAGACUGAGACAGCUUCAUUUUGAAUUGCUUUUGUUUCCUGUCCUUGGAUGGUCUCCAUUCUUUCUUCUGGAUUAUGCUGUUCGCUUUGAAUAUUCACCUCAUCAUCUUUUUCUGCCAUUUUCACUUCAGUAUCUGAUUCUUCUGGCAAGUCAUCAAGUUUGGUUUGUUGGUUUUUGGGCUCCAGUGGUGUACUUUCUCCUGAAGUUUCCACUGGUGUGGAGGUGUCUGCCAUCUCUGUGCAUUUAUCAUUCAAUUCUUCAACCUCUUUACUUUCUAAUCCAGUUGCUUCUGGAACUGGAACAGCAGCCCCCAAAUCAAUCCCAGCUUCUGCUUCAGCAUCCUCUGAGGGUUGUUCUUUUAGUGAAAUGUCUUCACAUUCUGUGAUUUUUUCUUCAGAAAACUUUUUUGUAGUGGAUUUUUCACUGUCUUCCUGCCCAACAUCACUAAUUGCACAUUCUGAUAUAUCUUUGGUUUGAGAUGAUAAAUCAAACUUCUGAGCCUCAACAUAGGCUUCUUCAUCUUCCUCCACACUUUUACUUUCUGAAAGUAUCAGAUUUUCCUGCAGAGUAGAUGUCUAAUUAGAAAAUGGUUAACAUCAAUUCCUUAAUGAUGAAUAUGGGUGUAUGCAGUAUGCUAUAUUCCUUUUACCUCAUCUUUUGCCUGCACUUCAUCUGACCUGCAGAUUUCAUCUUCCUUGUUCUGUUCCUCACUUUCCCUCCCAGGGAUUACUGCUAUUUGAACAGCCUACACAUAUUAUAGGCUAUUAACAUAGUACUCAAAGUAUAUUUGGUGAACCUGUAAUUUCCUAUGUAUUACGAGUGCCAUGCUUCAGAAUGGAAAUCAAUGUUGAGAAAGUGAACUUAAAUGAACAUACCUCUUUGUUUGAAUCUUGAGUGUCUGUUUUCACACAUGAAAUGUCCAACUCACGAGCAUUUUCAUUGUCUAUUUUAGUUGUAGGCUCCUUAAUGCUCGUUACCUGCUCUUCUUGGUGGAGGAUGUUGUCAUUUGCUUCAUUCGUAACUAUCUUUUCUUCUAGGUCUUCUGGAGCCUUGUCAUCGGCUUCUUCAGAAACUUCUGGUACCUGCUCAAUGAAUGGCAUUUCAACGUCAUAAGAUGCUGAGCUUUAUCAAGAAAACAGAGUAUGUAUGUUCUUACAGUUUCGGUAUCAUUUUCAUUGUUUGUGAACUCGUAUGUUUCUUUGCUGUUUAACUGUUGAUCUUGCAUAACCUCAUCUUCUUGGUGACUAUCUGUGAUUACCUCUUCCUCACAAGAACCUUGAUGAUAAUCUUUUAUAUCUUCGUGUUCCUCCUUGAUCUGCAUAUUGUAUCAUUUUGUUAGGGCUUAAUGUUCAUCUAACGGAAGGAACAAAGGUACUUGUAAAAGAUGCAGGAGAUUAGAAGAGUUUACUCUUGGUAAUUGUUCCUUCUCGCUUGAAAUGUCGCUCUUCAUGAUUUCUUUCUCAAUCGUAGUUUCUUCUUGUACUAUUUCCUCUGUUACAUCUUUGUCAGAUUGUAUUCCUGCUUUUGCUCUAAGAUCUUCUUCCUCUGUUUUAGUCUCUUCUGUUUCUGAAAUUAUGUCAAAACUUUGACCUUGGGCAAUAGAUUCGAGGCUCCUGGUAUUGGACUCACAUUCUCCAGGCGUAAAUGCAACUUCAUUUGAGUCCGACUUUUCCUGAGUCAAGCUACCAACGUAGUUGGAGUUUUCCUCGACACUUUUAUCUCAGCAUCUUGACCUUCUGUAGAUGAGGGAGUUGUCUCUUUGAUUGCAGGAGCUUCUUCUUCAUUUUUGGUUUCAAGGUCUGUAACAGAGUAGGAUGCCAAGUCUUCCUCUAAUGCCACAUUGGAUGUUGAGACUUCCUCUGAUGCCACAGAGAUGGGGCUGCUUGCAAUCUCUUUAGAGUUAUUUGAAUCUAUUUCUUCUUCACCAUUAACCUCCUUCGAUUCCGAGACAUCCUCAGAAGCAGCAAAGUUAGGCAGUGCCUCUUGUUUAAAUAGCUCUGCUUCCUUUUCUCCAUUUGGAACAUGGACCUCUGUUUCUGCCAAAGAUUCACUUGUUGGUACUGCAGUGGGGCCAUCAUUCAGCACUUGUAUUUUGUCCAAGUCACCACAACUAUUUGCUUCUCCAACAACUUGUUGGUUAUUUUUGUCCGAGACCUCAGAUUCCAUGCCGGUACUAUCUAAUACAUGCUCGUUGCUUGUCAUCAUAUGUUCUUCUGACACUUUCAUGACCGGUGAAUCCUGUUGCUUGCAAUUGCUAACUACAGGAAUAUGCCCAAUGACAUCUUUGUUAACAUCCAAAUCUUCGUCUGUUAAGUUUAAGCUCCUUCUUUCCUGUUCAAAAAGAGUUUUUCAGAUAAAUUUUAAGAAGGGAGCAAACAAUAACAGAAACAUUUGAAAAAUUUGCUUCGGAUCAGAUUACUUGCCUGAUUAGAUGCUACUGUUACUGCAGUUGUCAUUUGAACAGCCUUGAAACCUUCUUCCUCCUCUGUUUCUCUUUUAGCAUCAACACUUUCCAUCUCUUUGGGCACCUGUAGAUCCCCAUAAAUGGUGAAUCACUGAUGUCAAACUUUGUAUAAAACAUUGAUUUUCAAAUCAAAUUACUACAAUUACUCACAGUGUACGUCAACUUUGUUAUUCCAAAACUUGUUUACUAUAGAAUAUAAUAGAUCUGUGUUUCAACAUUGCGUAAACUAAUUUUGUGAUAACGGAUUACUUAAGUUCAGAUGAUAAAUAUAAUUAUCAGUUUCAAUAUAACAAUUUGUUCUGGGACAAAAUGCACACAUAAACAAAUUGUGUAUGAGUAUAUAUACUGACCUCAUCCUUAGGAGUUUCAUUUUCAAAGACUGUUGGAUCAAUUGUUUUGUCCUCUUCAUUGUCAUUGAUGCGUGCUCCAGGACUUGCACAUAGGAUUUGUUCUUCUUGAGAAUUUGUUUCUCUAACUUCACUUAAACAAGGUUCUUCUCUAUCCUCAGAUGCUAUUUGUGGUAACUCAAUGGACACAUCUUCCUUUAUCAAUGUAGCUUCGGUGUUCUGCUCAUUUGGUGAGGCACCUUCCUGUGGAACACUUUUUGCAAUAUCCUACAAUAUGAAUAGAAAGAGAUUACGAAUCGUGUAAAGUUUGAAGAAUGAGUUUUGUUUUUCAUAUUCUUUAAGCUUGCUAUUACUUUCAUCUACAUGAUAGAAUAAACUUCAAGUAGUAGAGUCCAACUAAAAUUACCUGAGCCUCUUGAAUUUCCUCGCCUAUUGCAUCAUCAAUCUUUUCUGUUAUUUUGUUACUUGAGGUAUCUUCUGGAUCUAGGAUUUGCUCCACAGUGGAACUUCUUUCUGUGUCUUGACAUGGAGCAAAUGCCUUGAUAUCCUCAGCUGCUACUUGAAAGGAGUCAAUAGGAUCCUCAACCUCUGCUACUUCCUCAACCAACGUGCUUUCUGUGAUGUCAUCUUCUCGAUCAUCUGAUAAUGAUGUGCUUUCGCUAACCUUUACCAAAUGUUCUUCCUGUUCCAGUAGUAAUCCAUCUACUUGGUUUCGGGAAUCUUCUGUAGUGUCCUCAUCUGGAGUGGCUGCAAAGUUCUGCAUCCAAGUACAAAACAUUUGUUCAAUAUGUUUAUCUUGCAGAGAUAAAUUCUUGUUAACUUUUUUCCAGCAUAACAUAGCAAUUGAUUUUUCCAAAAUUUGUCCACUAAUUUUUUGAUAAUAAAGUCAGCUUACUACUAUGAUUCUCACCUUAUCCUCAAGAGUUUCUUUCUUGAGAUCAGUUGAAUCAAGUGUUUUUGUACAUUUUUCGUCAUAUAUGGUUUCAUGAGAAUCUGUAGUCGGGGCUUGCUCUUCUAAAUGGCUUGCUUCUCUAUCUUGACCUGAAGAAGUAUCUUUAAUAUCCUCAUCUGCUGCCUGCAAUGACUCAAUAUGUACUUCUUCCUUUACCGGAGCACAUUCUAUUUUUUCCUCAUCUUCAUGCAAGUUGGCUUUUACAGUGUUUUCAUAUGCAAAUUUGGCCUCAUGGGUAGUAGUUGGUUUAUCGUCGUUGAACUUUUCUGCUGGAACUUCUUCAGAAGAAGAUUCUUGUAAGCCAUCCACUUGAAUUGGUGACUUAUCCUCGCUGUCUUCAUUUGGAACGCUUAUUACGGCAUCCUGCAAUGAUAAUAACUUAAGAACGUGAUUGAGCUAAAAGAAGAAAUAUAUUAUUGAGUUCUCUUUUCAUUAAGAACACAUAGGUGUUAAUUAUCCUUGUUUGUCUUUAAACUACUUAACAACAAUUGAUAGUGCCCUUUCUACUUCUUCUUCAGGACUUACAUUGUUUUUGUUAGCAGCAUCAACUGUUUUUUUCUGUGUUUCAUCACAUGUCUCUUGUGGAUCAGCAGUUAGGAUUUGCACCUCAGUAGGCAUUUCCACUUUUUCUUCUUCUUUGACUGGACCACUUUCAGUGGACGACACCAUUGGAGCUUCCGAAGAAGGUAUGUUUUCACUCUCAUUCAUGUGCUCUUCUUUGUCCUCAUAUGGAGUAGUAUUAUUUGCAAUAUUCUGCUGCAAGUCCAGAUCAUUUGUUAAAUCUAUUCCAUAUAUGGAAUCAUAUUGGUAACAGCUUGUUUCUUGGGGAUGAUUGAAACAAGAGUAUGUUACUAUUGUAUCAAUUCUAUAAUGAUGAUAAAACAAGAACAUGAAAGAAAAUGCAAAUUAGUUUUUCUUUUGCCUAGUAGAAGAAAUAGAGAAGGCUUACGCUAAACUGCUGCUAACCAACCUAAAUAUGCUAAUGCAUAGAGUUAUGUUCGCAUCAAGGAAAUUUAGUAAUUCAUGCAAAACUAGGCGUGUCAUGAUCAAGAUAAUUAAUAAGUUUGAUUCUCACCUCCAAACCAGUUUCACUAUCAGCUAUCUUCUCUUUGUUAUCAUCUCUGAUUCCUUCAGGAUUUGCAAUGGGACUUUGCUCAUCUGGAGAACUUAUUUCUCUCUCUCGACUUAAAUGGGGUGUCUCAAUCUCCUGAGCUGCCUCUUGCAAUGACUCGGGGGAUGCUUCUUCUUCGAUCAAACUGCCUUGAGUGAUUUUUGUUGACUCCUCAAUGUUGGCAUUCCCAGCCGAAGCUUCGUUCAAUGGCUUUUGUGAGCCAACUUCUUCAAUCGGCAUGUCAUCUUCCUUGCCACCCAAAAUAUCUAUUCCAAUAUCCUGCUGCAAGAAUAAACAUCAUAAAAGUUCUUAUUCGCCAAAACUCUGGAGAAGGAUACAGUUCACCAUCUUCUUUUAGAGUGUGUUCUCUUUGGUUGAUAAAUUAAUCUUGGAGUGAAAAAGAAGGAAUAAGAAAUGGUGAAAUUCAUUUUUGUAGAAAAUGAAGAAAAAGAAAAGAGGCAUUUGAAGGGAGAAAUUUUUGUUAUCCCUUAUUUUCCCAUGAUAAAUUUAUCAAUCAAAGAGAACACACCCUAAGGGUCAAGUUCAGCCUUUUAUUGUUUACUUGCAUAUCAUAUAACCAACUAAAAUAUCAUAAUCCGUUGUUAUGUUUGCAUCAGGAGAAUUUAGUUUGAUUCUCACCUUAUCCGUGGGAGUUUGAUCCUCCUCCCCUGUUGCAUUAUCAGGUAUCUCCUCUUUGUUGUCAUGCAUGAUUGCUUCAGGAUUUGUAGCGGGGCUUUCCUCAUCAACAGAACUUGCUUCCCUGUCUCGACUUAAAGGAGGCGUUUCAAUAUCCUGAGCUGCUACUUGCAAUGACUUGAGGGGUUCCUCUUUAAUGGUCAAACAGCCUUCACUAACUUUUGGUGACUCCUUAUCAUUGGCACUCUCAGCUGAAGCUUCGAUCAAUGGAUUUUGUGAGCCAACUUCUUCAAUUGCCAUGCUAUCUUCCUUGUCACAAUCUGGAAUAUCUUUUGCGACAUCCUGUGGUAAAAAUAAAAAUCAUAAAAGUUGUAUCCACCAAAGAUCUGAAGAAGGAUGCUUUGACUCUUUUCGUUUGGGAUCAUGCCUAGCCAUUUAUUGUUUACUAGUGUGUCAAAUAAGUUAAUGUUGAUAAGUUAAGUCAUUAUUCACCUCUGUCUCAACACUUUCCUCAUUAGUUUGAGCCGCGUCAACAGAUUCUCUCUCUGCCUUGUCAGUUGAAAUUUCUUGUGGAUCUGUAUUUGAGGGUUCUUCCUCGAUGGAUUUGCUUAUGUCUGGACUUGAAUCAUGUUGUAUAAUAUCCUCAGGCUUCACUUGCAAGGAGUCAAUAUGUUUCUGUACAUCUGUUUCACACAUACUUUCUGCAUUCGCCCCAUUUUCCAAUUCAGGUGUUAUUGACUCUUCGCCCCUAUUUUUAGGUUCAUCGUUAUUUCCUGAUUCCCUGGCACCGGUUUCCUCUGGAGCUUCUAUCAAAGAGUUUUGAUUGUCUUCUUCCAAACGUUCCUCAUCUUCCUGUGGAACACGUUUUGCAAUAUCCUACAAUAUGAAUACAAAGAGAUUACGAAUUGUGUAAAGUUUGGAGAAUGAGUUUUUGUUUUUCAUAUUCUUUAAGCUUGCUAUUACUUUCAUCUACAUGAUAAAAUAAACUUCAAGUAGUAGAGUUCAACUGAAAUUACCUGAGCCUCUUGAGUUUCCUCGCCUAUUGCAUCAACAAUCUUUUCUGUUAUUUUGUUACUUGAGCUAUCUUCUGGAUGUAGGAUUUGCUCCACAGUGGAACUUCUUUCAGUGUCUUGACAUGGAGCAAAUGCCUUGAUAUCCUCAGCUGCUACUUGAGAGGAGUCAAUAGGAUCCUCAACCUCUGCUACUUCCUCAAGCAACGUGCUUUCUGUGAUGUCAUCUUUUGGAGCAUCUGAUAAUGAUGUGCUUUCACUAACCUCUACCGAAUGUUCAUCCUGUUCCAGUAGUAAGCCAUCUACUUGGUUUUGUGAAUCUUCUUUAGUGUCCUCAUCUGGAGUUGCUGCAAAGUUCUGCAUCCAAGUAUAAAACAUUUGUUCAAUAUGUUUAUCUUGCAGAUAUAAAUACUUGUUAACUUUUUUCCAGCAUAACAUAGCAAUUGAUUUUUCAAAAAUUUGUCCACUAAAUUUGUGAUAAUAAAGUCAGCUUACUACUAUGAUUCUCACCUUAUCCUCAAGAGUUUCUUUCUUGAGAUCAGUUGAAUCAAGUGUUUUUGUAUAUUUUUCGUCAUACAUGGUUUCAUGAGAAUCUGUAGUCGGGGCUUGCUCUUCUAAAUGGCUUGCUUCUCUAUCUUGACCUGAAGAAGUAUCUUUAAUAUCCUCAUCUGCUGCCUGCAAUGACUCAAUAUGUACUUCUUCCUUUACCGGAGCACAUUCUAUUUUUUGCUCAUCUUCAUGCAAGUUGGCUUUUACAGUGUUUUCAUAUGCAAAUUUGGCCUCAUGGGUUGUAGUUGGUUUGUCAUCAUUGAUCUUUUCUGCUGGAGCUUCUUCGGAAGAAGGUUCUUGCAAGCCAUCCACUUGAAUUGGUGACUUAUCCUCGCUAUCUCCAUUUGGAACGCUUGUUACAGCAUCCUGUAAUGAUAAUAACUUAAGAAUUUUACAACACCCGAAGGGGACGUUUACUUUGCAUGAUUGAUAAGAUGCAUGAUUGAGUAUUUUUAUCCUCAAGAGUAGGAUUUCUCCAAUCCCACCCUUAUAAUGGGAAAUUUAUCAAGCAAAAUUAGCUCAAAUGAUGAAAAUAAUCAAGAGCCUUGGGAGUUUCAAUCCAUCAAAGUAAACAAGGUUACUAUUUUUAUCUAUCAAGGCUAAUCCUCCAAAGUAAAUGCCCCCCUAAGGGUAUUGUUUACUUGCAUGUCAUAUAACCAACUCAAAUAUCCUAAUCAGUAGUUAUGUUUGCAUCAGUAGAAUUUAGUUUGAUUCUCACCUUAUCCGUGGGAGUUUGAUCCUCCUCCCCUGUUGCAUUAUCAGGUAGCUCCUCUUUGUUAUCAUGGAUGAUUGCUUCCUCAUCAACAGAACUUGUUUCCCUGUCUCCACUUAAACGACGUGUUUCAAUAUCCUGAGUUGCUACUUGCAAUGACUUGAGGGGUUCUUCUUUCAUGAUCAAACCGCCUUCACUAACUUUUGGUGACUCCUUAUCAUUGGCACUCUCAGCUGAAGCUUCGAUCGACGGAUUUUCUUCUUCAAUUGCCAUGCUAUCUUCCUUGUUGCAAUCUGGAAUAUCUUUUGCAACAUCCUGUGGUAAAAAUAAAAAUUAUAAAAGUUGUAUUCACCAAAAAUCUGAAGAAGGAUAUUGCUUUGACUCUUUUCGUUUGGGAUCAUGCCUAGCCAUUUAUUGUUUACUAGCGUGGCAAACAAGUUAAUGCUGAUAAGUUAAGUACAUUAUUCACCUCUGUCGCAACACUUUCCUCAUUUGUGUGAGCCGCGUCAACAGAUCCUCUCUCUGCCUUGUCAGUUGAAAUUUCUCGUGGAUCUGUAUUUGAGGGUUCUUCCUCGAUGGGUUUGUUUAUGUCUGGACUUGAAUCAUGCUGUUUAAUAUCCUCAGGCUUGACUUCCAAGGACUCAAUAUGUUUCUCCACAUCUGUUUCAUACCUACUUUCUGUGUUCUCCCCAACUUCCAAUUCAGGUGUUAUUGACUCUUCGCCCCUAUUUUUAGGUUCAUCGACAUUUCCUGAUUCCCUGGCCUCGGUUUCCUCUGGAGCUUCUAUCGAAGAAUUUUGAUUGUCUUCUUCCAAACGUUCCUCAUCUUCCCUCGCUGAGCAAUUCACUUGGGUUACCGAGCUCUCUUCAAUGUGCUCAUGUGGAGUUUCUGUUGCAACAUUCUGCAGCCAGAUAUUAGAUAUAAACUGAUAAGCUAUAAGCUACAGGUAACUUAUUUCAUUUGUUUACUUUCUUCUUUCACACAAGCAACAUUAUUCAAAAAUGUAUAAUCUUGUAAAGAAAAUAUACAUUCUACUUGUGAUGCUUAGUCUUACCUCAACCUCAGGAACGAGAUCCUUCUUGUCUGCUGCACCAGUGAUUUUGUUGCUUGUAAUUGUUUGGGAGUUGUCUUCUAAGCUUCGCUCCUCAACUGAACAAGUUGUUUCUAUAUCUGCAGUUGAAGUAGAUGUUUCAUGAUCCUCAGGCUGCAAAUCCUCUUUCUCUGGUGUAGUACAGUCUGUACUCUUUUCAUCGUUGGGCAAUUCAACUUUGCUUGGGUAUUCAUCGCUAGUUUUUGGUUCAAGCAGAACUGAAUCUUUAUCACUGGCCUCGUCUUUUGACUUUUCAGUUAGUGAUGGUCUUUCCGGUUCCUCUUCCAAAUUUAUAUCACGUGUCAUUCCUGAGGCAGCUAACAAGUCCUUGUCUCUAUCCUCAUUCGAGACAUUCUGCAGCAUGGAUGAGAUGACUAAAUAAAGUGAUGUAAAAAAGAAUAGUUUGCUUCCUAUUUUUGAAUUAUCGUAAAAUAGUAGUAAUGUCUGACCAGUACCUCAACAGUUUCUUCCUUUUCUGCUGCUGCAUCAAUUGUUCCUCCUUCUGAUCUUCUGUCCACCGAUUCAGGUGCUUUGGCAUCUUCAGAAUUUAUAUGCACAUCUUCUGUAUUUUCUGUUUUGGAUUCUGUUUUCGGCAGCAUACUCUCUGGAUCCCUCUCGUCAUCACAAAACUCGCCUUUCUUUGGUUGCCCAUCCUCAUAUCGAGCCUCAUGCAAAAACAUUGAUGCAUCACUGACUUCCCGUGCCAAAGAUGUUUCUUCACUUUCCUUUCCAUAAUCAUCUUCCUUUUCAUUUUCUGAACCUUCCAAUUUGAUCAAUGAGUUUCCUUGAGCAUCCUCAGUUGAAACAGUUGUUGACAGAUUCUGCAGAAAUGGUAAGAAAUUGUUAACUCCAUGAGUUUAAUGAUAAGUGAAGCCAAGUAUAUCUCUAAGUAACUGAAGGUUCACUUUGUAGUAUGACUCACAUCUUGUACCUCACUAGCUUCUUCGUGUUUGUCAUCCUCGUCAUUUAUUUUUUUGUCUGUAUAGUCACUUGUGACUUCUUGCAGAACUACAUUCAUGCUUCCCUCUUCGGGAGAACCAGAAACAAUUGGUGGAAAACUCUGCAACGGUGAAAAGUUAAUUUAACGACUGCAAUAUACAUAAAUUACUUAUGUUUUAUGAAGCUAUCAAUCUCAAGUGUGUCUGUGACUAAGUGAAAGGGAAGUAGAAACAAUUGGUGGAAAGCUCUGCAACAAGAUGAAAGGUUAAUUUACUGACUGCAAUGUGAAGGUUAUUAUUAUUACUAUUAUCUUUUUUUCCCUUUUCUUUUUUGAAUGAAGCUGUGUCUUAGUAGGAGUGUCUGUUAUCCAUACCUCAUGACUGUCCCUGCGUUCCUCAGUUGCAUCAACUGUUGCUUCCUCUGCCUCGUUUGUGCUUGCAUUGCUUUGCUCCUCUGGAAGAAUGUCAAUGUUGUUUUCUUGGUUUGCAUUAGAUACUUGAAUAUUUUCAAGGGGUACCUGCAAGGAUUCUGCAGGAUUUUCUAUCUGCGCGUCUUCUUUGACCUCAUCUGUGGCUGGUGAGACGUUGUCAUUGGACGCUUCUGUUAGUGGCAGCCCCUGGCUUUCCUCUUCCAAAUGCUCAUCAUGAUCUAUCUGUGAGUCUUCGACUUGGACAAGUGAGCUCUCCUCAGACUUCUCUACAAGCUUUGGGUCGCUAUGAUCUGUAGCAGAGUCUUCUCCAUGGCUCUCACUCAAAGUCUUCUCUGAGGGAACUCCAUAGUCUUCUGGCAUUCUCACAGGCUCUUUACUUUCCUGUAUUGCCGUUUCUUCUUCCAGCGAUGAGUUUAAGUCAGUCUUGCUCUGUAGCUCAUCGCUGUUGGAAGUCUCAAGUGUGGUGGUUGUUUCAUUUUCCAAUCCCUCCUGUUCCGAGGUCAUCUUAUUGUGGUCAGAUUCUCCUUCCUCAGAGACUUUCUCAUCCACAGAUUCGUUGUCCGUUGUCUUCACUUGGACAGUUGGCUCCUCAACUUCAGAGAUGCGAGGUGGAUGAGACUCUGUUUCAUGUAAUAUCUCCUCAGCAAGAGAAACAUUGUUGCCGGAGGAGUCAUUUGUGGCAUGAGGAUCACUGCUUGUGUCUUCACAUAGCUGAGACGCCACCUCUGCAUCGUUGAUGUUAUGAUCAACAAGUGUAUCUCCCACUUUUGUUUCUGAUGAAUCCGUACUGCAUACCACAUCUCUACUGCCAUCUUUGUUGGAUUCUUCAGCAUUCCGUUGGAUUUCUUUCGCAGAUGUCUCUUCAUCUGUGGCCAAUUUCACUGUUUGAUCUGUGUUUUCAGGUGAAACGUUAUCGCCCUCACCACUUGAGAGAUUCUGAAGAAAGAAGAAAAACUAUUAGCUCCACGAGUUUAAAGAUUAAUCAUGCAUUAUAUUUCUCCAAUUAUGUGUUUUCUGCUUUUGGUACCUCAAGAACUUCCUUGUGAUUCUCAACCUCGUCAGUUAUUUUUCUAUCCAUACUGUCACUCGUGGCUUCUUGUAGAACUGCAUUCAUGCUUCCCUCUUCAUGGGAGCUUGAAAUAAUUGUUGGAAAAUUCUGCAACGAGAUGAAAGGUUAAUGUUAUCUUUUCUUUUCUCAAAGUGUGUGACUAGCAGUUCUUAGUAGGAGAUUAUCCAUACCUCGAGACUUUCCUUGUGUCCGUCGAUUGUUGCUUCCUCUGUCUCGGUUCUGCUUUGCUUCUCUGGAGGACCUUUUACGCUGUUUUCUUGGCUUAAAUCAAUAUUUUCAGAAGAUUCUGCAGAGUUGUCUUUAUGCGCGUCGUCUUUCACCAAAGUAGUUGUACUUUGCUCAUUCUCAGGCAAUUCAGCUUCUUUGAGGUCUUUCACAUUAUCGUGGCUUCUGGGACAACGUUGUCAUCGAACUUGCUCAUCACGUUGUAUCUGUGAGUCUGGUGAGCUCUCUGUAGCAGCAUUUUCUACAUCUCCAUGGCUCUCACUCAAAGAGCUAACUCCAUGGUCUUCUGAUGUUGUGUUGCAACUUGUUUCAUUUUGUAAUGCCUCCUGCUCCGAGGCCGUCUCAUUUGUGAGAUUAGACGACAUAUCCUCUCCUGUUGGCUUCUCGUCCACGGAUUUGUCAUCUGUUGUCUUGGAUUGGACAUUCAGCUCCUCACCACCUUCUGAGAUGCAAGGUGUAUGAGACUCCGUUUUGUCAUUUUCGUUGGAGGAAUGAUGAUCGCUGCUCGUCUCUUCAGAUAGCUGACUCACAUUCAUUGGAUCUCCCACUUUGAGUUCUGGGGUGAUGGCAAUGCUGUUUGAUUCUCCAGCCGCCCACGUCUUUUCAACGUUACAAUGAACCUCAUCAGUCGAGGGUGAUUUUAAAAAAUUCUCACCCUCGACUAUAGGAACUUCAUUGUGUUUUUCAUCUUGGAGGGGGACUUCGACUUCACUCACACAAAUCUUGACAAUAUUAUCUGCAACUUGCUCCCCUCUCUGCCAUGUUGGAUACCAGUAUUUACUUGUUAAAAGAAAGAACAAAAGUCUCUCAUGCUUAAAAUCAGAGUUUUGUAUUAAAACAAGUAGCAACAGAAUAUUAUUCACUAUCCCCCUAUUGACUUAUAUUCUGCUAACUUUGAUAUGGAUGCAUGUGUAUAAGCAUAUAUGGCUGCCUUGCUUCUCUAAGUUACUUCUAUGUUUCAGCUUAUAUAUAUAUAUAUAUAUACAUAUAUUUUCUUUCUUCCUUUGUUUCUAUGUUUAACUUCUCUGUAUAUUGAUCUAGCUGCGUGAUCUGCAGAUUUCAAACCAACUAGUUUAACACAAGUAUUCCUGAUUGAGAUCUUGCUUCAAACUUUUUAAAAUUAUAUACCAUUUAUUCGAAGUUAUAUUCUACAAUUUUUCUCUCCUAUAUUAUUUGUGAUUACCCGAUUAUCGGUAUAAAUAGCAUGGCAUCUAUAAGAUUUCUCUUAUGAUCAGAGAUUCACAUAAUCAUCCUAGAAAUNCUCUUAUGAUCAGAGAUUCACAUAAUCAUCCUAGAAAUCAGUAAGAGUAAGUUUCUCAUAUUUCUAGUAGAUGUUUGAUGAAACUAAACCAAUGUUUUGCUAAGAUGUUAUAUCAGAUCAGAAGAUGCACAGAAAUAUGAUUCAACAUAUAACAAUAGCCUCAUGUUGGAUCAUAGCAUAGUAAAUUAAUGAUGAAUUAUGAUCAUGGCUUUACUUGAUAUAGGUAUAUGGCAACGUUAAAGAUUUGGUUGAUGAAACAACUUACUGCUUCACACACA